AUCUGCUCUCUUCUCCCCCCCUUGCUUUUCCCCCCUUGGAUUUUUGGGGGCUGGUGCAGUUUAAAGCAGAGAUUUUAAGGUGGAUUCUGCGAAAGUUGCGCGUCUGCUUUCAGACUUGAUGCAGACGCCACGAGUCGAAUGGUUUGUCUCCAAAGGGCAGCGCCUCCCUAUUGGUCAGUCGCCCCCUGACGUCACAGGCGCACCGCUUCUACUGGCGUGUGCGCUGCUUGCGGAGUUCUUCGCCUACCUUAAGCAACUACAAGCUCAGCCCAGAGCUGCAACCUGGGGCCGCCCGGAGUUAAAGGGGAGCAGCGGUGGAGGGAGGCGCCCGGUAGGCUGCAGACGCAUCCCAUGGAAGCUCCAACCCUGUAUCCUAGAGCCCUUGUUUCCAGGAUUGGAGACUUUGGAAUAGCCUGGCUGGAGGCUGAUCUCUUACAAUUCAUUUGCACCCUUUCAGGUUGCUUGUGUUCAGAAGCAGUGGCCCUAGCAUUUAAAGUCAGACCCCCUCACUUGACCUUCCCCCUCCCUCAGGAUCCCAACUCUACUCUCCUCCCAAGGGAACACCUUGGCACUGUGGGUUUUUCCAGAAGUACUUUCUUGAAGCCAUAGAGGGAAGAAAAAACCCUACAUCUGGGCUUCAUCUCAUGGCAGGGGUCGGGGGUAGUAGAGAAAGAAAAAUCAGACCCUGCUCUGGCGAGAUUCCUGCUGUUUUAGGCCCUAUUUCCUAUAUGUUGACCCCCCAAUAAAGGAGGAACACCUCCCACCCCCAGAACGCAGCAGCCUGCUCUGAAAGCGAAUCCUUGGAGGGCUGACAGUAAUGCAUUUUUUUUUCCUAUUGAAAACAGAAGCUACUGUAAUGCUUUCAAAUAUAUGCAAAUGAUACAUGCGGUUAGUGGUUUGGCAAAUCUUGAUUACAAUAUAAACUACCCAAGUAAAAGUGCCUUCGUCCUAAAUUUGUCUCUCGAUUACAAUUCCAAUUGAUUUUAUUUUAUUGUCAACAUUGUUAAUGAUAAAAAUAGAGUCGUUUUACAGUUAUUUUUACUUUCUGGAAGGAGGCAAUUAGAGUUCUAAUCAGGAAUACACAAAAAAAUCUCCCAUGAUUAACUGCAGCACUUUGUUCAAAUUGCUGCUAUAAAAUUCAGAACAAUUUGCCUGUAAUGAUCAUGGACUGGGUUUAUUUUGGGAGGUGGAAUAAAAGUGGAUAUAGCAUAAAUUAUCCUCUAAUUAUACACCAGUGUCGCCUCAAUUAUCCUCUUAUCAAAAUGGUUGUCUAACUGCCGCAUUUAGUUUCAAUUCUCUCCUUUUUUUCUAUAAAAAGAACUUCAUACCUUGUUAUUAUUAAUCCAUUUAUUAUUUGCAAGGGGGUUUAUAUCCGCACAUCCAGGUGGUAGCACCACUUCUGUUUCAAAGAUGGACUGGGGAAAGACAUUAAGUUUGGAGCAGCUCAGUACAACGGAUCUAGCCUUUCUCCCUCGGGUCUCCAGACUCACUUAGGUCCAAGCUGCGGAGCAGGGACAACGGAGCCCAGGCGGCCACCUUCAGGCCCAGCCACCAGCUGCUGAGAACCAGAGGGAAACCUCCUCCCAGAAGAACAUUUCCAUACACUGCUUCCCCACUGCUGUGGAGUCCCCUGAACACUGGUCCCUGGACACCAACUUCAAGAAGACUUCGUGAUGGCUGUCCAGUCUUAUGAACCACAGUUUUCCCUGUGUGUUUUCUCCAGUGAUGCUCUCAUCUGGGUCAGAUUAGAGAUGAACCAGCUGGAGAACAGAUUGGAGCGCUGACCUCUUAGAGUGCUAACAGUCAACAGUUUGCUGUCAGACCCAUAGAGAAAUAAUAAAAAUACGUUCCAUGCAAGGGAGUGGGAUGUUUAUAAUUCCUUAAAGGCUGAAAUCAAGGAACAAUCAAAAUAUAGAGGAAUGCGGACUUGUUUUACUGCAGGAUUUUUGUUUUGUCCCUACUGGGAUACAUAUUCUGGUGUUACUACUGCAUCAGGACUCAGGCAAGGCUAUGUAUUCUAGUGGUGCUCCUACUUAGCUCUUGUGCUUUAGUAAGAGACACUAACUCAUUAGACUUGGUAUUACUGAUCUGCACUGUAGGUCUGCACUCACGACCUGGGAGAUAUUGGCAAUGAUUCUCUUAUAUGAUAAAGGUCAAUGAUAAAAGUACUUCAACUCCCCUCGAACUUUUUGUUUGUACACCAAGUGAUGACACUGUGUAUUGAACUAAUUAGAUCAGUGGAGUUACAGGGUGAUACUGACCUCUAAAAAUAUUUGGCUGAAACCUGGCAUUGCUAGUUAUCUGUAGAAGAGGACGAUAUGGAACAUGCAAACAUCACAAAACAUGGGAUUACUGGUCAGACUUGGAAACCCAGCAACCAGGCAAGUUCAGCAUAGAACCUGCAGAAACUAGCAGCAGGUAGACAUGGUUCCUUUUCCAUGGAUCUUACAACCAAAUGUCCCUGUAGAAAGCAGAGGCUAUCAUGUGUAUGUGGCCACACAGAUGUUCUUGAGCACAGCCUCUAGUCAGUGGGAGAGUUCCUACUGCUGUAGGCCAUGGCUGUCUUCUCUAAGCCUGAAUUUUACAAACACUUUGUGAACCUGGACUGCUUUUCUUUAGCAAGCCUUGAAAAGUUCCAGGAUGUCAGGGAAGUGUCUUGGGGUUGGCAGGGCUUCUAGGGAGGGAAAUAUUAAAUGAUUUGGACCAGAAAAGAAAAAGGGGAUGGGGUUCAGAACCAACAAUUACCUCUAUUCUAUGUAGGAAACAAUAAUAUGAAAUACGCUGGGCACGGAAACUUUGAUACUAAAACUUGGUUUUUGUCCCUUUUAAAAAGUAAUACUUAAAAAGCUAUGUGGUUGUAGGCAAGCCAUUUCCCAUCCCCUGUGGAUGUCUCCUGAAUGACUCUAAACCUGUUCUAGUUCUCAAAGGCCUUUAACAUAAGUCCCCAGGCUACAGUGGCCACUUUAAAAAUACCCUCCCUAUGGUUGUUAGGUCUUAACGUUUCCAGCAGUUACAUAAACAUUUUUAUUUUUGAGGGAGGGUCUAUUCUUAUCAACUUUUAAAAAACACACAUCCGGUUCUUUUCUGGAAUUAAGAAGAUGCAAACUCCAAGUCCCCUGCCUUCCAUACUGCCUGCCUUUCUUCCUGUUCGUCCCUUAUUCCCAUCCCUGUUGAGUUUGUGCUAUGCACUGCAUCAGGUAUACCCUAGGUUUGGAGAUACAGGAUAAACCUGACUCAGAGGGGUCUUCCCUUUCUCUUCUGGUGCUUUCUUUGGAGGGAGUCUGUUGUAUCUAGGCAGACUGUGCUGUGGCGCCCCUGAGGUAACCACCCAGGCGCUUCAUUCUGCCUAAGCAAUUUCAUUGUGCACUAAGAUACACAUCCCAGUAACUGUCCAGAUUACCACAAGAACUUUCUCCAAAUAUAAGGAAGAGGGAGAUUUUACUUCUGAGAUGUGUGUAUGACAACCCUCCAUCCUGGGAAGAACACUGAAUACUGCCUGCACCUCAUCCUAGCCUAAGGAGUGAGAGUGUUUUCCUGUAUCAUCCCGGUGGAUUGCUACUUCUUUAAGAAGGAAUGGGAAAAACACCAAACAGACAAACAUGUUAUCACAAAUUCAGUCUGACCUCAUUGGAAAUCCUUUUAAAAAUUAAUCAUUUCUAUCUCUUCAUUAUCAACAAAUCUACUGAAUACUUCUCUCUUGAGUCCAGGGCAUAUUUUAUAAUACAUAAAACAAUGAAAUUUCAAAUUCAGAGCACUGACAUAUACUAUUCGUUUUGAGUAUUUUUAUUAUAGGGAAUGACUUUAGACAUUCCAAUUUAUGACUUAAGUGGUAAAAUGGAUAGCUCUUGACUUUCAACUUUCCUUUUCAGUUCAGGUCAAGGAAUAGCUACCUCCAGGUAAUGUCUACACUUUCCUAUGACUAAGGACUCUAACUAUUUCUGUUGCCUUUCUUUAUGCAGGCAUAUGUUAGCAUUUCUUUUCUAUGUGACAAAUGUACUAAAGAGAGUAUAAAAUUCAUGAGAUAAGCUUUUUGGAUAGGAAUUUAGAAAAACAAGGAGUCCAGAUAAAUGAGUGAAAAAUCAACUUAAAUAAUCAACAUAUCCAAGAUAUGUAUUGGAAUAAAUGUCUAUUGUACCAUU